CCAAUAGCGUAUAUUAAAGUUGUUGCAGUUAAAAAGCUCGUAGUUGAAUUUUGGGUUUGGCCGAUUGGUCCGUUCUUGUAACGUGUACUGGUCGGUUUGGCCUCACCGCCUGGCGAUGCGUAAUGUUCUUUAUUGGUUGUUGCGUGUAGCCAGGACUUUUACCUUGAAAAAAUUAGAGUGUUUAAAGUAGGCUUAUGCCGGAAUACAUUAGCAUGGUAUAAUAGAAUAGGACGAUGAUUCUAUUUUGUUGGUUUCUAGGACCAUCGUAAUGAUUAAUAGGGAUAGUUGGGGGCAUUAGUAUUCAAUUGUCAGAGGUGAAAUUCUUGGAUUUAUUGAAGACUAACUACUGCGAAAGCAUUUGCCAAGGAUGUUUUCAUUAAUCAAGAACGAAAGUUAGGGGAUCGAAGACGAUCAGAUACCGUCGUAGUCUUAACCAUAAACUAUGCCGACUAGGGAUCGGGCGAUGUUGUUUCAAUGACUCGCUCGGCACCUUAUG
rnacentral:rRNA from 1 species